AGGUACGGAGUCAUUUCGGAGGAGGUGCAUUGUUACGCUCUCACGGAGUUCUGCGUGGCAUCCGAGCAGGUCGUCGGAGACGAAGAUAAUGGACUUGGUGCCUGCAGCGUUCAUUUGACUCGGCAAGAAUUUAACUCAAAACGCUAACUGGUCGGUACACACCUCUUUUCUGCAUUCUAACGUUCCACGCGAUCGUCCUCGUGCAUCUGCAUACGCGUCUCGAUGCGCCAGAGUAUCGAGCCUACUCCUACAGAGAAAGAGAUGUGUCACUUCUAACAGGCUGUUGGAAAUUGAACAAGAAGCGAAGAACAUUUCAGCCGAAAAUGGAUUUAAUCUUAAAUCUGCGUUGACACGAGCUGACAACUUGACAAGGAUGGAACAAGGUUUCUCAGGAAAUGCAUAAUUCAACGAUGGUAGCUGGCUGCGGCACCGUUAUCAACCGUUCGACGUAGAGCGAAGUGAAACAUCAUCAGUCUAGUCUUACAGCGACUGCCGAGGUGUGCAGAUCUACCUGCUAAACA